GGCAACGUGGCCGAGCGGUUUAAGGCGAUUGACUCGGGCGACCCGGAUAGAGUACUCACUUGAAAUCAAUUCUCUUCGGGGGCACAUGUUCAAAUCAUGCCGUUAUCG